rnacentral:rRNA from 1 species
UGGGGAAUAUUGCACAAUGGAGGGAACUCUGAUGCAGCGACGCCGCGUGAGUGAUGAAGGAUUUCGUUUCGUAAAACUCUGUUCUAUGGGAAGAAAAGGACUGUACCAUAGGAGAAAGCUUCGGCUAAAUACGUGCCAGCAGCCGCGGUAAUACGUAUGGAGCGAGCGUUGUCCGGAAUCAUUGGGCGUAAAGGGUGCGCAGGCGGCUUUACAAGUUGGAUGUGAAAUAUUGUGGCUCAACCACAAACGUGCAUCCAAAACUGCAAAGCUUGAGUUAAGGAGAGGUAAGUGGAAUUCCUGGUGUAGCGGUGGAAUGCGUAGAUAUCAGGAGGAAUACCGGUGGCGAAGGCGACUUACUGGACUUAAGCAGACGCUCAGGCACGAAAGCGUGGGGAGCAAACAGG